rnacentral:rRNA from 1 species
GAUGAACGCUGGCGGCGUGCCUAAUACAUGCAAGUCGAGCGAACAGACGAGGCGCUUGCUCCUCUGACGUUAGCGGCGGACGGGUGAGUAACACGUGGCUAACCGACCUAUAAGACUGGGAUAACUUCGGGAAACCGGAGCUAAUACCGGAUAAUAUAUUGAACCGCAUGGUUCAUUAGUGAAAGACGGUUUUGCUGUCACUUAUAGAUGGAUCCGCGCCGCAUUAGCUAGUUGGUAAGGUAACGGCUUACCAAGGCAACGAUGCGUAGCCGACCUGAGAGGGUGAUCGGCCACACUGGAACUGAGACACGGUCCAGACUCCUACGGGAGGCAGCAGUAGGGAAUCUUCCGCAAUGGGCGAAAGCCUGACGGAGCAACGCCGCGUGAGUGAUGAAGGUCUUCGGAUCGUAAAACUCUGUUAGUAGGGAAGAACAAAUGUGUAAGUAACUAUGCACGUCUUGACGGUACCUACUCAGAAAGCCACGGCUAACUACGUG